rnacentral:tRNA from 13 species
GCGCCUGUAGCUCAGCUGGAUAGAGCAACGGACUUCUAAUCCGUAGGUCGCAGGUUCGAAUCCUGCCAGGCGUACCA